CAGUCGCCGCGGUAAUACGAAGGGUGCAAGCGUUAAUCGGAAUUACUGGGUGUAAAGCGUGCGUAGGCGGUGAGUUAAGUCUGCUGUGAAAUCCCCGGGCUCAACCUGGGAAUGGCAGUGGAUACUGGCUCGCUAGAGUGUGUCAGAGGAUGGUGGAAUUCCCGGUGUAGCGGUGAAAUGCGUAGAGAUCGGGAGGAACAUCAGUGGCGAAGGCGGCCAUCUGGGACAACACUGACGCUGAGGCACGAAAGCGUGGGGAGCAAACAGGAUUAGAUACCCCAGUAGUCCCUGUCUCUUAUAA
rnacentral:rRNA from 1 species